rnacentral:rRNA from 1 species
GGAAGGGGUGUAUUUAUUAGAUAAAAAACCAAUGCCCUUCGGGGCUCCUUGGUGAAUCAUAAUAACUUAACGAAUCGCAUGGCCUUGCGCCGGCGAUGGUUCAUUCAAAUUUCUGCCCUAUCAACUUUCGAUGGUAGGAUAGUGGCCUACCAUGGUGGCAACGGGUAACGGGGAAUUAGGGUUCGAUUCCGGAGAGGGAGCCUGAGAAACGGCUACCACAUCCAAGGAAGGCAGCAGGCGCGCAAAUUACCCAAUCCCGACACGGGGAGGUAGUGACAAUAAAUACUGAUACGGGGCUCUUUUGGGUCUCGUAAUUGGAAUGAGUACAAUCUAAAUCCCUUAACGAGGAACAAUUGGAGGGCAAGUCUGGUGCCAGCAGCCGCGGUAAUUCCAGCUCCAAUAGCGUAUAUUAAAGUUGUCGCAGUUAAAAAGCUCGUAGUUGAACCUUGGGUCUGGCUGGCCGGUCCGCCUCACCGCGAGUACUGGUCCGGCUGGACCUUUCCUUCUGGGGAAUCUCAUGGCCUUCACUGGCUGUGGGGGGAACCAGGACUUUUAC